AAAUGUAAUCUCUGCCAUAUUUGUUUACCUUUGCGUUUAAAUAAUAAAAAAAAAAAAGUUCUGGAUCACUGGAUGAUUUAACGACGCUGAAGGUUGCCAAAAAUAUAAACCUCUGAGGCCAAAGGAAUGACUAGAAAUCUGAACUGUUUGUUCUGUCUUCAGACAGACAGCUAGUGAACUAGCGAAUAUGAUCCAGUGAACUCAAAGGCCUGCACACAAAAAUUGGAGAAUGGAACUGUUAUCUGUUGACAAGCUUUUGAAGAAGGAUGUAAUGCAGCAGUGAAGCAUCUGGAGUGAACUUCAGUGAACAUUGACAUGACAAAAAUCUUGUUAAUGGCAAGGAAUGAAUAUUCAGUAACCUACUUCAGCUACAAAACUGCCACUUUGCUUCAUGCUUCACUUCAGGUCAUCUGAGGUUACUGUAGCAAUUGAAAGUGCUGUUGAGAGGCAGUAUGGUAUUGUGAAUAUUUUGCUGUAAUGUACUAAAGAUGUAAUGUUCCUUCAAGAAAUUGAAAUAAUAUUUUGUAACAAAUGUAAAAAAAUUAGGUUAAAAUACAUAGUGAUUCUAAUUACAGAAGUUAUUCAACAGUUUUUAUUUGAAUAGUAGUUUCUGUGUUACACUGCAGCAAAGCAAUAAUAUUUUAAGUUUUUGUAUCUGGCAAGUAUUUACACUUGGAUAUAAAAAUAUGAAGAGAGUCAUGUACAGUAGUAUGUGACAUUUGGUUUGCUGUUUAUUAUGUAAUAAGAAUGGAAGGCAGAAGAGGUUUGGCUACAUUUAGUUCUGUAUAGUGUGUAGAUUCAUUAUGUUAUUUAAAUCGUAAUGUUCCAGUCAAAAACUGACUCAUUUGCAGACAGAAAGUUCAUGCAUAAAAUUAAAUCUUUCAUAGUGAGUUGAACCCUACCACUAAAAAUACAUUACAAUUGAAGAUGUAAGUUUUUAUGUUGUAAAUUGUACAUCAUUCACUCUUCACAAGACCUUACGUGUAUGUAGUGAGCGAGCUGGCCCAGUGGUAAGACACAGGGCUUUAGAGAGGCUGGCAGUAAAAAUCACUUUCAUUAAGAUAAA